GCUUCGGAGGGCUGGGAAUGGUUGAUCUGUGGUGAAGAUCUGCCUUGGUCAUGACCUCUGCAGUGUCAAAAAUCCCACAAUGGCAUGUUGAGACGUCUGCCCACCAGCUCGUAGUGCAUAGUGGGAACUCAGCAAACACACUGGAAAGGCUGGGCAAGGGACGCACAUGUCAGCCUUAUUCACCAUGGGAAGGGACAUCGUGUACCCGGUGCAUUAACUUAACAUCCACGGGCUCUUGGGACGGGCCAGGCACCGUUCUAGGUACGGAGGAUACAGAGAUAAACCAGGUCCCAGUUCUCAUAGCACUUACCCAGAGGCAAGCAGUAAAUACACGAGCAAGAUGGCCAGAGAAAGGCAGAAAGCCCUCAAGUGUUGGAGCAGAGCCAUGAACUCCUUUCCCAAGUAACCAUUUUCCUUUUGGGAGAUAGUUCUCGGCUUGCUACUGGGUUUUGUUGUUGUUUCUAAGCUGAAGUAGGAAAGAAGGGUUGAUGGAAACCAUGGACUACUCUUCCUUGGUUUUGAGAAAUCCCCAUCCUCUGAACUCACAGCUCCCCGGUGUGGGAUCAGGUAAGUUCCUGGUCUCGCCUGCAGGUGGAGCAGAGCAUGUGACCCAAGAUGCCACCAAUGAGAGGCACGUGCAUGACACUAAGGGACACUGAGAAGCAGGUGCAAAGGAAUCUUCUCUGGAGAAUCCAGCAGAUCCAUCUGGCUCCCAGAGGUGACGGUAGCAGGCAUCCCAACGGUGGUCUCUGCCCACCCAGGCAACAGCGGUGUGUGUGUGUGCAGUGGGGCUCCUACAAGGAAUGAUCCCCACAAAUGACCCCCAAGCCUGGUUCUCUGCCCUCCCUGACGAUUUCUGAGGUGCUUACUAUCCUGUAAUAAGUUCCUCUUCAGCUUAAACUAGCCAGAAAGGAGUCUGUUGCUUAGAAGUCAGGGCUCGCAUUGGCACGUGAAGGGAGAAGGGCAAUAACCUGAUACAGGAGGACAAGAUCAGUUCAGCUACAGGUCUGUGCUAUGCUGGGAAGAAGUUAGCACAGGGUGAUGUGAUGGGCCUCUCCGAUGGAACCGAAGGAAAAAAUGUAGCCCGACAGCAUGACAUCGGUACUGACUGCAUGUCUAAAUACAUCCAAUCAGAAAUUAUGUAUCAUCAUUCACGCAGGAUCUACAAAUUUGUCAUAGUGGGGAGAAGAAAGCACACAAGGUGAUGUGAGACAGACACAAGCAGGGGUGGGGACUCUUUUUGACAGGGUGCUCAGGGAAGCCCAUCUGAAGAGAUGCCAUUGAGCUGAGACCUGAAAGGUAAGAGGGAACCAACCAUGCAAAGAUCUCGAAAGGAGACUUGUAGGCAGAGAGAGCAGAAAUAUGAAGGAUGAGCUUGGGAGGUUGAGGUCUGGAGGUCAGUGCAAGUGGGCCAAGGACAUGAUGAGCCUGGGAAGUAGGCAAGGGCCAGGUCACGCCAGGCCUCCCAGGCCAGGGGCAGGCCUUCGGGUUUUGUUCUGAGGAUGGUGGAAAUCCCUGAGAGGACCUCAGAGAGGGAGCAGCCUUCUGAAUGUCCCCCACCGGGCCUCACCUCCUGGUAUUUACAGCCUUGUGCAAGCGCUGCCACAAGAGAGGAUGGCUGAUCUGUGCACCCACCAGGACACUGCAGAAAGGGCGGUGGGUGACUUUCGAGGCUAGGUCAUAACAGACCGUCUGACUCUGCCUUGCUCUCUUGGAUCACUCCCUCUGGGGAAGCCAGCCACCAUAUAGUAGGGCCGCUAAAGCAGCCUUAUGGAGAGGUCCACCAGUGGGGCCCUGGGCCUCCUGCUCACAGUCCCGGGACCGAGACAGCUCAGAAGCGGAUGCUCCAGCCCCGGUCAAGCCUUUAAAUGACCAUAACUUCCUGAGACAGCCUGAGCCGGAACCACCCAGCUAAGCAGCUUCAAAUUCCUGACCCUCUCAGAUUCCCCGGAGAAGACAACUGACUGGCCCUGUGGAUCCAGGGCCUGGGUAGCCCUGGCCUGGCUUCUAGAAGUGGCGGGCUGCGAGCAGACUCCAGCCUGCUGGGCUCCCCUGCGCUCAGAAAGGCCGGCGCAGGCCAGAUGCAGGGCUCGGGAGCAGAAACAAAGGCCCUGAGGAAGCCGGCGAGGAAGAGUCGGGGCUUACCAGGUCAGCCUGACCAGCAGGCGAGGACUAAGCCUCCUCUGAGCUGUGAAAGAAGCUGUGUGGUCCCAAUGCUCCCAGGAAGGACAGCUGUGCUCCGAGUGUCCCCGCUCCUCCCCUCCCCCGCAGUGGAUACCAAAGCUUGGGGCUUCUGAAUCUUCUUGUCCAAAUUUGCAGAUGUGUCACAGAAGCAGACACUCAGACCGAGGUGUCCAGGAGAGGGUGCAGAGGGAAAUGAUGAUGUUGGGUGCCGUUUAGUUGGGCACUGGGUUGUCAGUACUGGUUAAGACACAGUCCUUGCCUCAAGUUUCUCGUAGACUGGAGGGAAGGCAGAAGGCAGACGCUACAACAAAAUCAGCCCUACGGUUAAGAAAGUGAAUCUGUGGGACAAAGUACAACUCAAGCCCCAAAGAGGAAACGGACCAAAAAAGUGAACUGGUCAGCUGUCACCACAGUGCUGUGUAACAAACGACCCCAUUGUUCAGUGGCUUACCUUGUGAGCACUUACUUCUGACUCCCACAUCUGCAGAUUGCCUGGGGCAGCCCUGCCAACUUCAGCUGGACAGCUAGAUUGGCUCCUGGGCAGGGAUUUGGUUGAAGUCUGCCUUGUCUCAUUCUUUUGGACCUGGUGGG